rnacentral:rRNA from 1 species
GCACAAGCAGCGGAGCGUGUGGUUUAAUUCGAUGCUACACGAAGAACCUUACCAGGGUUUGACAUGCAAGUGGUAGGAAUCUGAAAAGUGACCGACCCUUCGGGGAGCUUGCACAGGUGCUGCAUGGCUGUCGUCAGCUCGUGUCGUGAGAUGUUCGGUUAAGUCCGCUAACGAGCGCAACCCUCACUGUGUGUUAUACGUGUCACACGGGACUGCCGGUUUUAAGCCGGAGGAAGGCGGGGAUGACGUCAAGUCAGCAUGGCCUUUAUAUCCUGGGCUACACACACGCUACAAUGGUCUGUACAAUAGGUUGCCAAGCCGCGAGGCGGAGCCAAUCCUUAAAGCAGGCCUCAGUUCAGAUUGUAGGCUGCAACUCGCCUGCAUGAAGUCGGAAUCGCUAGUAAUCGCAGAUCAGCAACGCUGCGGUGAAUACGUUCCCGGGCCUU